CAGCCGCCGCGGUAAUACGUAGGGUGCAAGCGUUAAUCGGAAUUACUGGGCGUAAAGCGUGCGCAGGCGGUCCGCUAAGACAGAUGUGAAAUCCCCGGGCUUAACCUGGGAACUGCAUUUGUGACUGGCGGGCUAGAGUAUGGCAGAGGGGGGUAGAAUUCCACGUGUAGCAGUGAAAUGCGUAGAGAUGUGGAGGAAUACCGAUGGCGAAGGCAGCCCCCUGGGCCAAUACUGACGCUCAUGCACGAAAGCGUGGGGAGCAAACAGGAUUAGAUACCCGAGUAGUCCCUGUCUCUUAUAC
rnacentral:rRNA from 1 species